GCACGUGGUAGCGUCCUCCUUGCGGUUAGACUACCUACUUCUGGUGCRACAAACUCCCAUGGUGUGACGGGCGGUGUGUACAAGGCCCGGGAACGUAUUCACCGCGGCAUUCUGAUCCGCGAUUACUAGCGAUUCCGACUUCAUGGAGUCGAGUUGCAGACUCCAAUCCGGACUACGAUCGGCUUUUUGAGAUUAGCAUCCUAUCGCUAGGUAGCAACCCUUUGUACCGACCAUUGUAGCACGUGUGUAGCCCUGGCCGUAAGGGCCAUGAUGACUUGACGUCGUCCCCGCCUUCCUCCAGUUUGUCACUGGCAGUAUCCUUAAAGUUCCCGACAUUACUCGCUGGCAAAUAAGGAAAAGGGUUGCGCUCGUUGCGGGACUUAACCCAACAUCUCACGACACGAGCUGACGACAGCCAUGCAGCACCUGUAUGUAAGUUCCCGAAGGCACCAAUCCAUCUCUGGAAAGUUCUUACUAUGUCAAGGCCAGGUAAGGUUCUUCGCGUUGCAUCGAAUUAAACCACAUGCUCCACCGCUUGUGCGGGCCCCCGUCAAUUCAUUUGAGUUUUAGUCUUGCGACCGUACUCCCCAGGCGGUCUACUUAUCGCGUUAGCUGCGCCACUAAAGCCUCAAAGGCCCCAACGGCUAGUAGACAUCGUUUACGGCAUGGACUACCAGGGUAUCUAAUCCUGUUUGCUCCCCAUGCUUUCGCACCUCAGCGUCAGUGUUAGGCCAGAUGGCUGCCUUCGCCAUCGGUAUUCCUCCAGAUCUCUACGCAUUUCACCGCUACACCUGGAAUUCUACCAUCCUCUCCCACACUCUAGCUAACCAGUAUCGAAUGCAAUUCCCAAGUUAAGCUCGGGGAUUUCACAUUUGACUUAAUUAGCCGCCUACGCGCGCUUUACGCCCAGUAAAUCCGAUUAACGCUUGCACCCUCUGUAUUACCGCGGCUGCUGGCACAGAGUUAGCCGGUGCUUAUUCUGCGAGUAACGUCCACUAUCUGAAGGUAUUAACUUCAGUAGCCUCCUCCUCGCUUAAAGUGCUUUACAACCAUAAGGCCUUCUUCACACACGCGGCAUGGCUGGAUCAGGCUUGCGCCCAUUGUCCAAUAUUCCCCACUGCUGCCUCCCGUAGGAGUCUGGGCCGUGUCUCAGUCCCAGUGUGGCGGAUCAUCCUCUCAGACCCGCUACAGAUCGUCGCCUUGGUAGGCCUUUACCCCACCAACUAGCUAAUCCGACUUAGGCUCAUCUAUUAGCACAAGGUCCGAAGAUCCCCUGCUUUCUCCCGUAGGACGUAUGCGGUAUUAGCAUUCCUUUCGAAAUGUUGUCCCCCACUAAUAGGCAGAUUCCUAAGCAUUACUCACCCGUCCGCCGCUAAGUGAUGGUGCAAGCACCAUCACUCCGCUCGACUUGCAUGU
rnacentral:rRNA from 1 species